GACGAACGCUGGCGGCGUGCUUAACACAUGCAAGUCGAACGGAAAGGCCCUGCUCUUGUGGGGUGCUCGAGUGGCGAACGGGGGAGUAACACGCGUGUAACCUGCCCUUGACUUUGGGAUAACUUCAGGAAACUGGGUCUAAUAUCGGAGAGGAUCUCCUGCUGCAUGGGGGGGGUUGGAAAGUUUCGGCGGUUGGGGCUGGACUCGCGGCUUACCAGCUGGUUGGGGGGGUAGUGGCUUACGAAGCGUUUGACGGCUAGGCGGCCUGAGAGGGUGACCGGCCUCCAUGGGCCUGCGGUACGCCGCAGUCUCCUACGGGAGGCAGCGGUGGGGAACAUUACACAGUGAGCCGGCGCCUGAUACGACGGCGCCGCGUGCGUGAUGCCGGCCUUUGGGUUGUAAACAGCUUUCGCCUGUGACGAAGCGUGAGUGACGGUACUUGGUAAAGAAGCACCGGCUAACUACGUG
rnacentral:rRNA from 1 species